AUCAAAAACAUCGCCUCUUGUUAAAAUUUAAGAGGUCCAGCCUGCCCAGUGACCCUGUUCAACGGCCGCGGUAUCCUAACCGUGCGAAGGUAGCGUAAUCACUUGUUCUUUAAAUAAGGACUAGUAUGAAUGGCACCACGAGGGUUAUACUGUCUCCUUUUUCUAAUCAGUGAAACUAAUCUUCCCGUGAAGAAGCGGGAAUUUUUAUAUAAGACGAGAAGACCCUAUGGAGCUUUAGACAAGUAACAAUUGCUAAUUUUAUAAUAUUUCAGAUAAUUAACCUACACACUAGCAUUAUGAUUAUAAGUCUUUGGUUGGGGUGACCGCGGAGAAAAAAAUAACCUCCACACUGAAAGAAUCAUAUUCUAAGCAAAAAGACACAUCUUUAAGCAUCAACAAAUUGACAUCUAUUGACCCAAUAUUUUGAUCAACGAACCAAGUUACCCUAGGGAUAACAGCGCAAUCCACUUCGAGAGCUCUUAUCGACAAGUGGGCUUACGACCUCGAUGUUGGAUCAGGGUAUCCCAGUGGUGUAGCCGCUACUAAAGGUUCGUUUGUUCAACGAUUAAAACCCUACGUGAUCUGAGUUCCAGACCGG
rnacentral:rRNA from 1 species